rnacentral:lncRNA from 1 species
GGAAGGGAAGGGAGAGGAGGGGAAGGGGAAGGGGAAGGGGAAGGGGAAAGGGAAGAGAAAGGGAAAAGGAAAGGGAAAGGGAAAGGGGAAAGGGAAAAGGAGGGGGAAGGGAAGGGGAAAGGGGAGGGAAGAGGAUGUGGGGUUGGGAUGUGGGGUUGGGAUGUGGGGUUGGGAUGCAGGACAGGGAUGUGGGGCUGGGAUUUGGGGCCGGGAUUUGGGUGGGGGUCUCGGUGGGUGCCGUUUCCCCCCCCUUGUCCCCCCGCCCACCAUUCCGGCAGGGCGGCGCGGAUGCGGCCGAUGACGCCGAAGGACGGAUCCAGGCGGAGGCUCAGCGCGCCGCCCGUCGCCGCCAGCAGCGCCAGCCACCACGACGGCGACGCCGGGUAAACGCCGCUCAGGAAGCGGUUCUGCAGGGACGCACGGCGGCCGUAGGGACCACAGGGACCACAGGGACACAUAGGGACACAUAGGGACACAUAGGGACCACAGGGACCAUAGGGACCAUAGGGACACAUAGGGACCCACAGACCCAUAGGAACCCAUAGAGACCCAUAGCAACCAUAGGGACCCAUAGGAACACAUGGAGACCCAUAGAGACCCAUAGGGACUCAUCGAGACCCAUAGUGACCCAUAGAGACCAUAGGGACCCACAGAGACCCACAGACCCAUAGACACCCAUAGGGACCCAUAGACCCAUAGAGACCCAUAGGGACCCCAAAGACACCAUAGUGACCCACAGAGACCCAUAGAGACCCAUAGGGACCCAUAGACACCCAUAGAGACCCAUAGCGACCAUAGGGACCCAUAGGAACACAUGGAGACCCAUAGAGACCCAUAGAGACCCAUAGAGACCUAUAGGGACCCAUAGGGACCCACAGGGACCAUAGGGACCCACAGGGACCCGUAGGGACCCAUAGGGAGCAAAGGGACCCACAGGGACCCAUAGAGACCCAUAGGGACCCAUAGAGACCCACCAAUAUAGGGACGCACAGGGACCCAUAGGGACCCAUAGAGACCCAUAGGGACCCACAGAGACCCACAGGGACCCAUAGGAACACAUUGGGACCCAUACGGACCCAUAGACCCAUAGGAACCCAUAGAGACCCAUAGAGACCUAUAGGGACACAUAGGGACAUAUGGAAACCCAUAGAGACCCACAGGGACCCACAGCGCCCACACAGCCCCAUACCACCAGCAGAGCCCCACACCGCCCCAUAGCACCCACAGCCCAGCACAUCGUCCCAUAUUGCCCAAUA